GUGCUCGCUUCAGCAGCACGUAUACUAACAUUGGAAUGAUACAGAGAGGAUGAGCAUGGCCCCUGUGCAAGCAUGACAGAAUUCCAAGAGUUAAUUAAAUUGAGCAUUUUA
rfam:Otolemur garnettii contig021803, whole genome shotgun sequence.